rnacentral:misc_RNA from 1 species
AAGUCGUAACAAGGUUUCCGUAGGUGAACCUGCGGAAGGAUCAUUAUUGAAAACUCUGAACGCUUGUGGCUUCACUUCUGUUGCUGGCUCCUUCCUAAGAGGAGUAUGUGCACGUUUGAAGUCGCUCGCCUCUUCUUUGUCCACCUGUGCACCUUUUGUAGAUCUGGUUGGAAAGCUCACUUUUUCUAAAGUGGAUUUUGAAGGGUUUGCUUGCGCUCCCUUUGCUCCUCCAGGUCUAUGCUUCAUAUCAUCUCUUGUAUGUUUAGAAUGUCUUUGUUUAUCGGACUUCACCGUCCUUUAAAAACUUAAUACAACUUUCAACAACGGAUCUCUUGGCUCUCGCAUCGAUGAAGAACGCAGCGAAAUGCGAUAACUAAUGUGAAUUGCAGAAUUCAGUGGAUCAUCGAGUCUUUGAACGCACCUUGCGCCCUUUGGUAUUCCGAAGGGCAUGCCUGUUUGAGUGUCAGUAAAUUCUCAACCCUCCUUACUUUUUCGGUAAGGCUUGGGGUUGGAUGUGGAGGCUUGCCGGAUGUUAACCACGUUCGGCUCCUCUGAAAUGCAUUAGCAGUACGACCAUUACUUGGGCUACGCUAAGCUGUGAUAAUAUCUAAGCUAGCUUGGUUCAGAGUGUUGGCAGAGCUCGGGUUUUUUGAAGGGUUUUGCUUCGCGGCUCCCUUUGUGUUCUCUCUUCUCGGAGAGAGAUACCUAUGCGACUCUGUGGAAGGUUUUGUUACCGCUUCGAACCGUCUUCUUAACUGAGACAACCUUAACUGAUUAUUUGACCUCAAAUCAGGUAGGACUACCCGCUGAACUUAAGCAUAUCAAUAAGCGGAGGAAAAGAAACUAACAAGGAUUCCCCUAGUAACUGCGAGUGAAGAGGGAAAAGCUCAAAUUUAAAAUCUGGCAGCUUCGCUGUCCGAGUUGUAAUUUAGAGAA